UGGCGCACGGCGCACGGGUGCGUAACACGUGGGCAACCUGCCCUACAGAGGGGGAUACCCCCGCGAAAGCGGGACUAAUACCGCAUGACAUUCCGGUGGCUUCGGCCGCUGGACUCAAAGUCCGCAAGGACGCUGUUGGAGGGGCCCGCGCCCGAUUAGCUAGUUGGUGAGGUAAUGGCUCACCAAGGCGACGAUCAGUAGCUGGUCUGAGAGGAUGAUCAGCCUCACUGGGACUGAGACACGGCCCAGACUCCUACGGGAGGCAGCAGUGGGGAAUAUUGGACAAUGGGCGCAAGCCUGAUCCAGCCAUGCCGCGUGGGUGAUGAAGGCCCUAGGGUUGUAAAGCCCUUUCGGCGGGGAAGAUAAUGACGGUACCCGCAGAAGAAGCCCGGCUAACUUCGUG
rnacentral:rRNA from 1 species